ACUGGCUGCACCUAACUCAGGCAACAAGAAUUCUAUUGAGUUUGUCUGACUGAUGUUGGAGCACAAAU
ensembl:miRNA Mir3967 microRNA 3967